rnacentral:rRNA from 1 species
GUGGGGAAUUUUGGACAAUGGGCGCAAGCCUGAUCCAGCAAUGCCGCGUGCAGGAAGAAGGCCUUCGGGUUGUAAACUGCUUUUGUACGGAACGAAACGGUCCGGGUUAAUACCCUGGGCUAAUGACGGUACCGUAAGAAUAAGCACCGGCUAACUACGUGCCAGCAGCCGCGGUAAUACGUAGGGUGCGAGCGUUAAUCGGAAUUACUGGGCGUAAAGCGUGCGCAGGCGGUGCUGUAAGACAGGCGUGAAAUCCCCGGGCUCAACCUGGGAAUUGCGCUGGUGACUGCAGUGCUGGAGUGCGGCAGAGGGGGAUGGAAUUCCGCGUGUAGCAGUGAAAUGCGUAGAUAUGCGGAGGAACACCGAUGGCGAAGGCAAUCCCCUGAGCCUGCACUGACGCUCAUGCACGAAAGCGUGGGGAGCAAACAGGAUUAGAAACCCUAGUAGUCC